GUAGCCGUAGUGUUAUGCAUUCUGUGCUAUUCAGUGCCUCCAAUUCCAUUUAUCUUAUGAUUUACAUUGCACCGUUUUAAUUUCAAUAGCUGUACCAUUUUUAAAGUUAUCAUGUUACACUCUGGUCCCAAGUCUAACAAUAUUCUACGCAUAAUCGGUCACCGCAUAUUAAUACAACAGCUGUGGAAAGUAAUAUGGUGUUACCUUUAUCUACUACUGUCUGGGUUGUCAUGGCCGUUGAUUUAUUAUUUAUCGCUAGUGCUUUGAUGAUACGGGUACGUCAUUAAUUUAAAUGCUAGUUCCAUACUUUCGCGAGGUCGCCUCGUUGAGAGUCUUGUCCAGUUAACGCGAGGCGAGGUAGCGCACGAAUGCAUAGUCUACCGAGAGUGUACUCUCGUGUAGUUUUGUGACUCACUCAGUUGUUUUUAGCGGUUGUACAAAAUGGAUGUGGUUGAAAUAACAGCUGCGGCUGCAUUGUGUGCAUAUAGUUAUUAUAAUUUUCUAAAUUUAAGCCAUUCAAAAAAAAUUAAACAAUCCAAUAAGAGGAGAUGGUGGACAGCAACCAUACACAGAAACAGAACAAAGCAAAGCAUGGAAAAUGUAUUGGUGAAUUGUUAUAUGAACCUUCAGGCGAGUUUGAAAAUUUUACUCGAGUGUCAUUAUCAGAUUUUGAAUAUUUACUCACUUUAAUUUCACCUAUUAUUUCAAAACAAGAUACUCAACUGAGAGAUUCAAUCCCAGCUAAGAUAAGACUAGCAAUUACGCUACGAUUUUUAGCUACAGGUGAUAGUUAUAAAAGCCUUCACUUUUUGUUUAAAGUAUCUAGCCAAUUAAUAUCAAAGAUUGUACCAGAAGUAUGUGUAGCAAUCAAGUUCUUAAAAAUGAAGUGAAGGACAUCUUUAUAGGGCAUUUAGGAAAGUUACACUGGGACUACAAGACAUAUACAAUAAUCUUAAUAGUAAGUUAAAUUCAUUAUCCUAUUUUAUUAUUUUUAUUAUUUUUGUUUUUAGUUCAUAAAUUUUUGUAUUAUAAUGUAUAAAAGAAUUCCAUAUAAAAUGUUCAUCUUUAAACUCGCAAGUAAACUAAUACUUGUUGCCUUUAAAUGGUGAACAAUUUAUUUUUAGUAUUUUUA